GGUUAAUAUAGUGUCUAUAAGCACACAUAAACAUGAGAACCACUAAAAGGAAACAUUGAAAACUUGUGGAAGUCUGUUUUUUACUUUAUUUUUUUAUUUUUAUGUUAACGACUCAAAUUAUGCAAGAUUUGUAUAAUUUGUAACCGUAUCCUUGACGUAUAUACUCGGAAACACAAGCAACAAUCUCCAGAACUGUACCUCCCGGCAUUCUCAUUACAAUUCUGACAUAAACACUAUGCAUCCCAUUUUGCUGAGGGCCUCCGUGUCCAGAGGAACCCACAGAAUGUUCAUACAGCAGUUGAAGUGAAGUCUACUGGGCCAAUAAACCAAGCACGAACACAAUAUAGAGGCAGAAACAGUGGAUUUCAAAUCACAGCACAAAAACGUGUUGUUUACUCCUUCCAAAGGACAUAAUGCUUUCUCUGGAUUUCAUAGCCGAGAACAGUAAACCUCCUGCAAACACACCAAGCAUUACCAAAGUACAUCCAGCAUGACAUGCUAAACGGGCAAGUCUCAGCCUUUAAUCUCCUACAUUGGAACAUUGGCAUGUGUUGUUAUGAAUAUAUACUAUGGAGUGGAGGUGUUCUGCUCCAAGACUAACCA